rnacentral:lncRNA from 1 species
AAAAACUUGGAAAUUUUUAUUGAAACUUUGCAGGAUGUUUAUUUAGUCAUUUAUCUAUUAGUUUAUCACAAAAAAUUGGAAGGAAAUGUAUUGCAUGAUGGAUUUAACAUUAUCAAGUUGAUUAUAUAGCGAGCUGGCAAACAUUGUAAGUGUAGAAAAUAUGUAGUAAUUAAUUAAAGAAGUUUAAACACACCAUAAUCAUUUAUAUAUAAUGAAUUAGUACAAUAUUUUACACUUUAUACAUUGCAUGGUAAGAUACAUGAGUGACUUAGUACCACAUAAAGUUCCUAUGAGGUUCAAAAUUUUGACUAUCUUCAUCAUCUCUAUGUGUAGAGUAAGUGUAUUGUGAAAAGUAGUCAUCAAAUGAUAAAUCCCCAAAAUAGUUUUGCAUGUAAUUGUUAACAUGUCACCAUAUGGAUCCGAGAUUAAUUAUCACCAUUUGUUUUUUACAAAAAAUAGAUCCGCAAACUAAACACAAUCCAAAAAAAAAUUUAAUUUUGUUCAACAAAAGAUUUAAGAGAACCAAAAAUUUUAAUUUUGUUCAACAAAAGAAAAGAACAUUAAUGUUUUUGUUCUAGCAUGUGUUGAAACAUUGGAUCCCUUUUCAAUUGCCUUGAGCCAUGAACAACUCUCAUUUUCAAACCAACCCGUGUAUAAAGAAAAAGGAAAUGCUUUUCAGAUUCCCAACCACUCUCUCACUCUCUCUCUAGAAUAUGAGAGAUGCUCUCAUUUCUCCAACCUCAAGCGCAGCGCCCGUUCUUACAGCCUUCUCUCUCAUAGCUCUUCAUUAUUGUCUGCAACCUGAAGUCCAGCAACAUACACACCUCCGUGUCUCUAUAAUCAUGAAAACUGAGAUGCAUGAAGGUAAAUCCCUCCUCCAUGUGUGUUAAUUUUUUUGUUCUUUCGUUUCAGAUUUAUGUGUUGGACUGAAAUAGAGUGAGAUCUAACACAUGCAUGUGCUUUCGUUUCAUAUUUAUUUCUAUUUUUAUUCUUAACCUCUGAAUAUUUCCAUCAAUUCUGGAGGGUUUUGAUUUAGUUUGGUGAAGGAAUAGAACUGAUUCUAACCCUGGACAAUUUCUACAUCUUCUCUGCAGAAUCUGGUAAGCUCCGGCGAUGUCAAAGAUCUGGAGGAUGAGCGACAGAGCAAGUCUGGGAGGCGAUCCAAACGACGCAACCUUGGCUGCCUUUUCGACGACAGAGCCACGAGAUUGUUUCUCGAUAUUUUCAAUAUUAUCGAUAAUAUCGCGAUAUUUUGACGACAAUUAGAGAAUACGUGGGAAAAUAUUGGUUUCUCUGAUAAACGAUAAUAUCGGCAAUAUUAUCGAUAUUUUAGUCAUUGCACUCGCCUAACUACUUUAACUCUACAGCUAAGAAAGCUCUCUUGAAUUAAUGACACAAUAUGUUAGAUAUCCCUUGAAUUAAGGACACAAGACAGCAACCUUCUUACAUUCCUUAGCUGAUGUAAACAGCCAACCUCCUUACACUCCUUCCAAUAACUUUAACUUUACAGCUAAGUAACUUUAAUUUUACAGCUAAGAGAGAACUCCUUCCAAUACUCCCCCUCAAGCUGGAUCAAAGGGGUUG